CCUACGGGAGGCAGCAGUGGGGAAUAUUGCACAAUGGGGGAAACCCUGAUGCGGCGACGCCGCGUGAGUGAAGAAGUAAUUCGUUACGUAAAGCUCUAUCAGCAGGGAAGAAACACUGACCUUACGGUCAGCAGACGGUACCUGAGUAAGAAGCCCCGGCUAACUACGUGACAGCAGCCGCGGUAAGACGUAGGGGGCAAGCGUUAUCCGGAUUUACUGGGUGUAAAGGGAGCGUAGACGGUGCGCCAAGUCUGGAGAGAAAUGCCGCAGCUUAACUGCGGAACUGCUUGGGAAUCUGGCGAACUAGAGUGCGGGAGGGGUAAGCGGAAUUCGUAGUGUAGCGGUGAAAUGCGUAGAUAUUAGGAGGAACACCGGUGGCGAAGGCGGCUUACUGGACCGUAACUGACGUUGAGGCUCGAAAGCGUGGGGAGCAAACAGGAUUAGAUACCCUGGUAGUC
rnacentral:rRNA from 1 species